rnacentral:rRNA from 1 species
GGGGAAUUUUGGACAAUGGGGGCAACCCUGAUCCAGCCAUCCCGCGUGUGCGAUGAAGGCCUUCGGGUUGUAAAGCACUUUUGGCAGGGAAGAAACAGCCUGGGCUAAUAUCCCGGGCGACUGACGGUACCUGCAGAAUAAGCACCGGCUAACUACGUGCCAGCAGCCGCGGUAAUACGUAGGGUGCAAGCGUUAAUCGGAAUUACUGGGCGUAAAGCGUGCGCAGGCGGUUCGGAAAGAAAGGUGUGAAAUCCCAGGGCUUAACCUUGGAACUGCACUUUUAACUACCGGGCUAGAGUACGUCAGAGGGGGGUAGAAUUCCACGUGUAGCAGUGAAAUGCGUAGAGAUGUGGAGGAAUACCGAUGGCGAAGGCAGCCCCCUGGUAUGAUACUGACGCUCAUGCGCGAAAGCGUGG